GAUCAUGGCUCAGAUUGAACGCUGGCGGCAGGCCUAACACAUGCAAGUCGAGCGGUAGAGAGAAGCUUGCUUCUCUUGAGAGCGGCGGACGGGUGAGUAUGCCUAGGAAUCUGCCUGGUAGUGGGGGAUAACGUUCGGAAACGGACGCCAAUACCGCAUACGUCCUACGGGAGAAAGCAGGGGACCUUCGGGCCUUGCGCUAUCAGAUGAGCCUAGGUCGGAUUAGCUAGUUGGUGAGGUAAUGGCUCACCAAGGCGACGAUCCGUAACUGGUCUGAGAGGAUGAUCAGUCACACUGGAACUGAGACACGGUCCAGACUCCUACGGGAGGCAGCAGUGGGGAAUAUUGGACAAUGGGCGAAAGCCUGAUCCAGCCAUGCCGCGUGUGUGAAGAAGGUCUUCGGAUUGUAAAGCACUUUAAGUUGGGAGGAAGGGCAGUUACCUAAUACGUGAUUGUUUUGACGUUACCGACAGAAUAAGCACCGGCUAACUCUGUG
rnacentral:rRNA from 1 species